CAUUUCUAGCUUGCUAGGAGAUGACGAGCGGCGGACGGGUGAGUAAUACUUGGGGAUCUGCCUGAUGGCGGGGGACAACCACUGGAAACGGCGGCUAAUACCGCAUAAUGCCUACGGGCCAAAGUGUGGGACCUUCGGGCCACAUGCCAUCAGAUGAACCCAAGCGAGAUUAGCUAGUUGGUGAGGUAAUGGCUCACCAAGGCGACGAUCUCUAGCUGUUCUGAGAGGAUGAUCAGCCACACUGGGACUGAGACACGGCCCAGACUCCUACGGGAGGCAGCAGUGGGGAAUAUUGGACAAUGGGCGCAAGCCUGAUCCAGCCAUGCCGCGUGUGUGAAGAAGGCCUUCGGGUUGUAAAGCACUUUCAGUGGUGAGGAAGGCCUUGUAGUUAAUAGCUGCAAGGAUUGACGUUAGCCACAGAAGAAGCACCGGCUAACUCCGUGCCAGCAGCCGCGGUAAUACGGAGGGUGCGAGCGUUAAUCGGAAUUACUGGGCGUAAAGCGCACGUAGGCGGUUUGUUAAGCAAGAUGUGAAAGCCCAGGGCUCAACCUUGGAAUAGCAUUUUGAACUGGCAAGCUAGAGUUUUGAAGAGGGUGGUAGAAUUUCCAGUGUAGCGGUGAAAUGCGUAGAUAUUGGAAGGAAUACCAGUGGCGAAGGCGGCCACCUGGUCAAAAACUGACGCUGAGGAGCGAAAGCGUGGGGAGCAAACAGGAUUAGAUACCCUGGUAGUCCACGCCGUAAACGAUGUCAACUAGUUGUUCGUGUCUUUAAGACGUGAGUAACGCAGCUAACGCACUAAGUUGACCGCCUGGGGGAGUACGGCCGCAAGGUUAAAACUCAAAUGAAUUGACGGGGGCCCGCACAAGCGGUGGAGCAUGUGGUUUAAUUCGAUGUAACGCGAAGAACCUUACCAUCCCUUGACAUCCA
rnacentral:rRNA from 1 species